rnacentral:rRNA from 1 species
CCCUUAGAUGUCCUGGGCGGCCCGCGCGCUACAAUGUCAGCUACUGAAGGUUAAUGCUUUGAAAGAGAGCGCGCUCUCCUUUUAAUUGCUCGCAUGCUGGGAUAAAUGAAUGCAAUUUUGUUUUGAACGAGGAAUUCCUAGUAGCCAUGUUUCACUAGAAGAUGGCGAAUGCGUCCCUGCCCUUUGUACACACCGCCCGUCGCUCCUACCGAUUGAAUGCUCAGGUGAGCCAUUCGGACUUUCAUCAUGCUGGUUUCCAGUUUUGAUGAAGGAAAGUCUUGCGAACCUUAUCAUUUAGAGGAAGGAGAAGUCGUAACA